rnacentral:snoRNA from 1 species
CCAGCAACCUGCCGUUGAAGCUCCUUAUUGGCUAAACACACCUGAUUCAGGUAAUCCGCAGCAGACGAGGCAGGAAUUCUGGAAAACCAGCAGGAGGUCGGCCCUCAAAGCCUGGAGUUUGACACCCCUGCUUUAGAG